GCACAAGCGGUGGAGCAUGUGGUUCAAUUCGAAGCAACGCGCAGAACCUUACCAGCUCUUGACAUGUCCCGUAUGAGUACCAGAGAUGGAACUCUUCAGUUCGGCUGGCGGGAACACAGGUGCUGCAUGGCUGUCGUCAGCUCGUGUCGUGAGAUGUUGGGUUAAGUCCCGCAACGAGCGCAACCCUCGCCCUUAGUUGCCAUCAUUUAGUUGGGCACUCUAAGGGGACUGCCGGUGAUAAGCCGCGAGGAAGGUGGGGAUGACGUCAAGUCCUCAUGGCCCUUACGGGCUGGGCUACACACGUGCUACAAUGGCGGUGACAAUGGGAUGCAGAGGGGUGACCCCGAGCAAAUCUCAAAAAGCCGUCUCAGUUCGGAUUGUGCUCUGCAACUCGGGCACAUGAAGUUGGAAUCGCUAGUAAUCGCAGAUCAGCACGCUGCGGUGAAUACGUUCCCGGGC
rnacentral:rRNA from 1 species